rnacentral:rRNA from 1 species
CCUACGGGAGGCAGCAGUGGGGAAUAUUGGGCAAUGGACGCAAGUCUGACCCAGCAACGCCGCGUGAAGGAAGAAGGCUUUCGGGUUGUAAACUUCUUUUAAGGGGGAAGAGCAGAAGACGGUACCCCUUGAAUAAGCCACGGCUAACUACGUGCCAGCAGCCGCGGGAAUACGUAGGUGGCAAGCGUUGUCCGGAUUUACUGGGGGUAAAGGGCGUGCAGCCGGAGAGACAAGUCAGGUGUGAAAUCCACGGGCUCAACCCGUGAACUGCAUUUGAAACUGUUUCCCUUGAGUGUCGGAGAGGUUAUCGGAAUUCCUUGUGUAGCGGUGAAAUGCGUAGAUAUAAGGAAGAACACCAGUGGCGAAGGCGGAUUACUGGACGAUAACUGACGGUGAGGCGCGAAAGCGUGGGGAGCAAACAGGAUUAGAUACCCCGGUAGUC